AUAGCGUAUAUUAAAGUUGUUGCAGUUAAAAAGCUCGUAGUUGAACUUCAGACCUGGUCGGGCGGUCCGCUUCACAGCGUGUACUGUCUGACUGGGCCUUACCUCUUGGUGAGCCGGCGUGCCCUUUAUUGGUGUGCGUCGGGGAACCAGGACUUUUACCUUGAGAAAAUUAGAGUGUUCAAAGCAGGCCUAUGCCCGAAUGCAUUAGCAUGGAAUAAUAAAAUAGGACGUGCGGUUCUAUUUUGUUGGUUUCUAGAGUCGCCGUAAUGAUUAAUAGGGAUAGUUGGGGGCAUUGGUAUUGAGUCGCUAGAGGUGAAAUUCUUGGAUUGACUCAAGACCAACUAUUG
rnacentral:rRNA from 1 species